GGGGCCUAGUGAGGCCUAGUAGGAACCUGGGAGGUGGAAGGUGCCAGCGGUUGUCCAGUGCAAUUGUGCUGUCCCAAGGAGAGUAAUGGACAGGAAAUAAGGCCUGAGCGACAACUUUAUUUGCAGAGGCAGAAACUGUGAGGAUUAAGACCAAGGACAUCAAUUUCUCACUAUUGACUGAUGCAGAAGAUUGUAAGCAUGAACCUGAUAUGCAGGUGGUAAUAGGCUUGAAGAAUAUGAGUUCUGCUCUACAUUAAAUAUUUGAAUUGAAGAUAGCAUACUUCUCUGCUUAAAUGAUAGCUAAAAUGGAGGACUACAACUCCUCUUCAAGUGAAUAAGGAGAGACAGCAGAAAUGUCUGAAAUAAUACCCAUGGAGGCAGAUGCUAGAAACUCCUCAGGAGCUGAUUAAGAUUUUUCUCACUGAGUUCACAUUUGUCGUGUAAUGAUUUGUGAGUAGUCUGACUUGUUUGAAAUACUAAUGCUAGAAGUUUGGCUUAAUUGACUAAGCUCUGGAUCUUCUAUAAACUUCACAAAUUCUUUCCUAAUUUCUUUCAUUACAAUGGCCUGCAAAGAAGUGGAUCAGCAAUCAUCAUUAAAAUGUCAUUUAUAUUCUGUGUGACUUCACUCUCCACAUAUGCUAUAUAUUAUACCUGCAAGAGGGAAUUUUUGUGCUAACUUCUGCAAAAGUGGUAAGAUUAUCACAAAAAGGAAGUAUAUGCUGAAGAUACAAAGAACUGUGGUUAGCUUUGACUCCAGCCAGAGCAGUUUUAUAAUGGAACCAUACCCAUUGAUCCAAUACUUGUGAUGCUUUCCGAUUAUCCAUGCAGUUCAGGACUCCCAUCUAAAUCACUUAAUUCAGGUCCUUUUAAAACUUCCUGUAUGUCACAGGACAAUGGCAUACCUUUCAUACAAUUACACUUCUUCAUAUAUUAUCUGCUAAUUAAUGCCCUUAGAAAGAAUUUCUCUGCUUUCCACUAAACUAAUUGGGCAGCAGAGAGUCCAAACUUUUAGCCAGUACAUUGGUGAAUACCUCAGCAUCAAUACAGAACUAGUAGACAGGGCUAUGACUGGCAAAAUCAAACUUGUCUUUGCUAGGUUUCAAGCCAGUUAAAGAUGCGCUUCUAUUGAUUUUGAAAUUUUGACAUUUUCUCAGAUUGCGAACU